CCUACGGGAGGCAGCAGUGAGGAAUAUUGGUCAAUGGACGAGAGUCUGAACCAGCCAAGUAGCGUGAAGGAUGACUGCCCUAUGGGUUGUAAACUUCUUUUAUAUGGGAAUAAAACAGGGUAUGCAUACCCUCUUGUAUGUACCAUAUGAAUAAGGAUCGGCUAACUCCGUGCCAGCAGCCGCGGUAAUACGGAGGAUCCGAGCGUUAUCCGGAUUUAUUGGGUUUAAAGGGAGCGUAGGUGGAUUGUUAAGUCAGCGGUAAAAUUGCGGGGCUCAACCUCGUCGAGCCGUUGAAACUGGUCGUCUGGAGUGAGCGAGAAGUAUGCGGAAUGCGUGGUGUAGCGGUGAAAUGCAUAGAUAUCACGCAGAACUCCGAUUGCGAAGGCAGCAUACCGGCGCGCAACUGACGCUGAGGCACGAAAGCGUGGGGAUCGAACAGGAUUAGAUACCCCAGUAGUC
rnacentral:rRNA from 1 species